rnacentral:rRNA from 1 species
UACGUGAGGGACCAAGCGUUGUUCGGAUUUACUGGGCGUAAAGGGCGCGUAGGCGGCGUGGUAAGUCACUUGUGAAAUCUCUGAGCUUAACUCAGAACGGCCAAGUGAUACUGCUGUGCUAGAGUGCAGAAGGGGCAAUCGGAAUUCUUGGUGUAGCGGUGAAAUGCGUAGAUAUCAAGAGGAACACCAGUGGCGAAGGCGAGUCCCUGGACACUUCCUGACACUGAGGCACGAAAGCUAGGGGAGCAAACAGG